rnacentral:rRNA from 1 species
CUACGGGGGGCUGCAGUGGGGAAUAUUGGACAAUGGGGGCAACCCUGAUCCAGCCAUGCCGCGUGUGUGAAGAAGGCCCUCGGGUUGUAAAGCACUUUCAGUGAGGAAGAACGCCUGGUGGUUAAUACCCAUCAGGAAAGACAUCACUCACAGAAGAAGCACCGGCUAACUCCGUGCCAGCAGCCGCGGUAAUACGGAGGGUGCGAGCGUUAAUCGGAAUUACUGGGCGUAAAGCGCGCGUAGGUGGCUUGAUAAGCCGGUUGUGAAAGCCCCGGGCUCAACCUGGGAACGGCAUCCGGAACUGUCAAGCUAGAGUGCAGGAGAGGAAGGUAGAAUUCCCGGUGUAGCGGUGAAAUGCGUAGAGAUCGGGAGGAAUACCAGUGGCGAAGGCGGCCUUCUGGACUGACACUGACACUGAGGUGCGAAAGCGUGGGUAGCAAACAGGAUUAGAUACCCCGGUAGUC